UUGCACAAUGGGCGCAAGCCUGAUGCAGCCAUGCCGCGUGUAUGAAGAAGGCCUUCGGGUUGUAAAGUAACUUCUAGCAGUGAGGAAGGUGGAGUAUGUUAAUAGCAUAUUCAUUUGACGUUAGCUGCAGAAGAAGCACCGGCUAACUCCGUGCCAGCAGCCGCGGUAAUACGGAGGGUGCGAGCGUUAAUCGGAAUUACUGGGCGUAAAGCGCAUGCAGGUGGUUUGUUAAGUCAGAUGUGAAAGCCCGGGGCUCAACCUCGGAAUUGCAUUUGAAACUGGCAAACUAGAGUACUGUAGAGGGGGUAGAAUUUCAGGUGUAGCGGUGAAAUGCGUAGAGAUCUGAAGGAAUACCGGUGGCGAAGGCGGCCCCCUGGACAGAUACUGACACUCAGAUGCGAAAGCGUGGGGAGCAAACAGGAUUAGAUACCCUGGUAG
rnacentral:rRNA from 1 species